GACGAACGCUGGCGGUGUGCUUAACACAUGCAAGUCGAACGGUAAGGCCCUUUCGGGGGUACACGAGUGGCGAACGGGUGAGUAACACGUGAGUAACCUGCCCUCAUCUCUGGGAUAACAGUCGGAAACGGUUGCUAAUACUGGAUAUGAGCUUGCAAGGCAUCUUGUGGGUUGGAAAGAUUUUUUGUGGUUGGGGAUGGACUCGCGGCCUAUCAGCUUGUUGGUGAGGUAGUGGCUCACCAAGGCUUCGACGGGUAGCCGGCCUGAGAGGGCGACCGGCCACAUUGGGACUGAGAUACGGCCCAAACUCCUACGGGAGGCAGCAGUGGGGAAUAUUGCACAAUGGACGGAAGUCUGAUGCAGCAACGCCGCGUGCGGGAUGACGGCCUUCGGGUUGUAAACCGCUUUCAAUUGUGACGAAGCUUUUUUGUGACGGUAGCAGUAGAAGAAGCACCGGCUAACUACGUG
rnacentral:rRNA from 1 species